GACGAACGCUGGCGGCGUGCCUGACACAUGCAAGUCGGACGGUUCUUGCACCUUCAAGCUUGCUUGUUGGUUCAAGGAUAGUGGCGGACGGGUGAGUAACGCGUGAACACCUACCCAUUGGAGGGGUACAACCCGUCGAAAGGCGGGCUAAUACCGCGUAAGCCGUGAGGUGAAAGGCUGCUCUUUGGUGGCUGCCGAUGGAUGGGUUCGCGUCCUAUCAGCUGGUUGGUGGGGUAACGGCCUACCAAGGCUAAGACGGGUAGCCGGUCUGAGAGGAUGGCCGGCCACACUGGAACUGAGACACGGUCCAGACUCCUACGGGAGGCAGCAGUGGGGAAUCUUGGGCAAUGGGGGAGACCCUGACCCAGCGACGCCGCGUGAGGGAUGAAGGUUUUCGGAUCGUAAACCUCUGUUGUACGGGAAGAAGGAUGUGACGGUACCGUACGAGUAAGCCCGGCAACUACGUG
rnacentral:rRNA from 1 species